GUGAGUGUAGCUCAACCCGGUUAGAGCACCUGACUGUGGCUCAGGAUGUUGGGGGUUCAACUCCCCUCACUCACC
rnacentral:tRNA from 1 species